AUUGAACGCUGGCGGCAUGCUUUACACAUGCAAGUCGAACGACAGCUCGGGCUUCGGCCUCGCGGCGAGUGGCGAACGGUUGAAUAAUACCUCGGAACGUGCCCAGACGUGGGGGAUAGCUCGGCGAAAGCCGGAUUAAUCCCGCAUACGACCUGAGGGUGAAAGCGGGGGAUCCUCCGUCCUCGCGCCUUUGGAGCAGCCGAUGGCACAUUAGCUAGUUGGUGGGGUAAAGGCCUACCAAGGCGACGAACGUUAGCUGGUCUGAGAGGACGACCAGGCAGACUGGGACUGAGAAACGGCCCAGACUCCUACGGGAGGCAGCAGUGGGGAAUCUUGGACGAUGGGCGAAAGCCUGAUCCAGCAAUGCCGCGUGAGUGAUGAAGGACUUCGGGUUGUAAAGCACUUUAGGCGGGAAGGAAGAAAAGCUCGUCAAUCCCGCAGUAUGAUGACGGUACCCGCAGAAUAAGCACCGGCUAACUCCGUG
rnacentral:rRNA from 1 species